CAAGAGUUAUCCAACUCCCAAAACCCAUGGUGAACUUAUCUCUUUGUUGCCUCGGCGCAGCUACCCGGGACAUCUCGCGCCCCGGGCGGGCCCGCCGGCGGACAAACCAAAACUCUUGUUAUCUUAGUUGAUUAUCUGAGUGUCUUAUUUAAUAAGUCA
rnacentral:misc_RNA from 1 species